UACGGGGCGCAGCAGGCGCGAAACCUCCGCAAUGGGCGAAAGCCCGACGGGGUCAGUCCGAGUGGCUCCCGCUAAGGGAGUCUUUUGCCAGCUGUAAAAAGGCUGGCGAAUAAGGGGUGAGCAAGUCUGGUGUCAGCCGCCGCGGUAAUACCAGCACCCCGAGUGGUCGGGACGAUUAUUGGGCCUAAAGCAUCCGUAGCCGGUGUAGCAAGUCCUCCGUUAAAUCCACUUGCUCAACAAGUGGGCUGCGGAGGAUACUGCUACACUAGGGGGCGGGAGAGGCGAGGGGUAUUCCACGGGUAGGGGUAAAAUCCUCUGAUCCGUGGAGGACCACCAGUGGCGAAGGCGCCUCGCCAGAACGCGCCCGACGGUGAGGGAUGAAAGCUGGGGGAGCAAACCGGAUUAGAUACCCGGGUAGUCCCAGCCGUAAACGAUGUAGGCUCGGUGAUGGGCUGGCUCCGAGCCAGCCCAGUGCCGCAGGGAAGCCGUUAAGCCUACCGCCUGGGGAGUACGGCCGCAAGGCUGAAACUUAAAGGAAUUGGCGGGGGAGCACCACAAGGGGUGAAGCCUGCGGUUCAAUUGGAUUCAACGCCGGAA
rnacentral:rRNA from 1 species